AACGCACAUUGCGCCCGCCAGUAUUCUGGCGGGCAUGCCUGUUCGAGCGUCAUUUCAACCCUCGGACCCCCGGCUUGCUGGGGGACCGGCGUUGGGGCUCGGGCGUCCCUCGCGGCGUCCGUCCCUGAAAUACAGUGGCGGUCGCGCUGUAAUCCUCUGCGUAGUACUACACCUCGCAGCCUGGAGAGCGGUGCGGCCACGCCGUAAAACCCCCUACUAUACAAGGUUGACCUCGGAUCAGGUAGGAAUACCCGCUGAACUUAA
rnacentral:misc_RNA from 1 species